rnacentral:lncRNA from 1 species
CAAAAUUUCUUCUGUUUCCUAUCCCGAAUCCGUCUCGGAUAGUAAAAUUUACCCUGUUUCCUGCCCUGAAUUCGUUUAUUUUCUCCCAUUUACUGCUCCCGUCGGGUCGGAUCGGGGCGGGAGCUCUACCAACCCGGAUCCGUUUGCAUCCCUAACCUUUAUAGUGCUUUUGAGAGUAUUCUAGCUCAACUAUAUAUAUAUAUAUAUAGUCCGGCUAUGAUGCUUGUAAAAGUACCAAGUAUUUGGUGCUUGUAAAUUUUUUACUUUUAGAUCUACGCCUUUGAUCAUUUUCACCUGUUAAAUUAUACUAUUCAACCAACCACCCACUCAACCUUAGGGGGCCCACAUCAUCCUAACCGCACAUCCCUUAAUCCAAGGGUUAAAAACUUACAAGCACCAAUGACUUGAUACUUUUAAAAGCAUAGGAGCUCAAUUCUAUAUAUAUAUAUAUAUUAUUAUAUAUAUAUAUAUAUAUAUAUAUAUAUAUUUAUUUAUUUAUUUAUUUAUAGAAAAUUCUUUUUACUAUUUAGAGUAAGAUCAGUAUCUCUGAUCUUAAAUUCAAGUCUUUUAUCAUCAUUUUUUAUGAGAUUUUUAUUUUCAGCCGUUUAUUUUUAAACUACUCGUUUGAUAGAUAAAUGAUGUUGAAAAAUGAUGAAAUUUAGCUUUCAAAUAUUUUUAAUAGUGUAGAUCAAGUCUAACGGAGCUGGUCGUCGAUUUGUAAGCUACAUCAUUGAAAACAACUUGGUAGCACGGAGGCCUCCGUGCUAUUGAUAGUAUACCAGCCUAACUCUCUCUCUCUCUCUCUAUAUAUAUAUAGAGAGAGAGAGAAUUAUAUAUAUAGUAGCCUAACUCUCUCUCUCUCUCUCCCUCUCUCUUUUUUCUCUCUCUCUCUUUACAUAUUUAGUCGGGCUUGUGUACUUUGAGAAGCAUGGUGGCCUUCGUUCUGUCAAGUCGUUUUCGAUGCUAAGAAUUCUAAAUCAAUGAUUGGCUCUAUUAGAUUUGAUUUAUUAAAAUAUUGAAAAUAGCUAGAAAAUAAAUUUGUAAUUUUUUGAUAUCAUUUACUUAAUAAUCAAAAAGUCUUAAAAUUAAUGGCUGAAAAUAAACAUCUAACAGAAAGUGAUAUAUGAAACUAAAAUUUAGAUCAAUUAUAUUGAUCUUGUUUUAUAUAGUAUAAAAAGUUUUCUAUGAAAAUUUUGCAUAAUUUAAAUAUUUUUAUAUCGUUAAACUUGCAAGCGGCUCAUCACGACCGUUGGAAUUUUUGAUUUUUGAUCUCUUCGAUCAUUAGGCAAAU